GUGUGUGUUUUGCCUGAAUGUAUGUAUGCACACCACCUGUGUGCAGUGCCCAAGAAGGCCAGAAGAAGGCAUUGGGUCCCCUGGAAGUGGCGUUCAGAAGGUUGUGAGCUGCAUGUGUACAGCAGGAAUUGAACCCUGGUCCUCUGGAGCAGCCAGUGAUCUUACCCACUGAGCAUCUUUCCAGCUCCUUCUUUUUUUUUUUUUUUUUUAAGCUUUUUGAGACAAAUUUUCUCAACUAUGUAGCCCAAGUUGCCCUUAGACACACAAUCCUCCUGCCUCAACUUCCUGGGUGCUGGGAGUACAGACAUGUAACACCACACCUAGCUGAAAAGGCAUACUUUUGGAGAGAGAUUUUGUUCAUGUAAGAAAAACAAAACUGGUUUGGGUGUGAGCAGAAAAUAUUCAAAGUCUGGCAAAAUUGUUUAUGAGCAGAUGUAGUUUUUAACAGUAUGAAGCUCCGAAGGGCUGAGAAAUGGGAAAGAAGAACCAAAGACAAUGGGAAAUUUCUUUCAAUUGGAAAGGGACAUUGAAGUUAGUUAUUCCUUCCCCAGCACCCCAGCAUCAGAUAAAGCUUCAUGUAGACAUAACAAUGGGUAAAAUAUGUUGAGUAUAAGGGUAGAAAUUUUUUGUUUGUUUGCUUGUUUUUGUUUUUGUUUUUGUUUUUUUGAGACAGGGUCUCUCUGUAUUGCUUCGGAGCCUGUCCUGACCAGGUUGGCUUCGAACUCACAGAGAUCCACCUGUCUUUGCCUCCCAAGUGCUGAGAUUAAAGGUGUGCAGCACCAACGCCUGUUGAAAUUUUGGUUUUUUGAGACAGGAUUUCUCUAUGUAGCUUUGGAGGCUGUCCUGGAACUUGUUUUGUAGACCAGGCUGGCCUCAAACUCACAGAGAUCCACCUGCCUCUGCCUUCCGAGUGCUGGGAUUCAUGGCAUAUGCCACCACACCUGGAUUGGAGGCUUUUAAAAAGGCAAUUGUGACAUAAUUUAUAUAUAACAGAGUACAUCUUUUUUUCUUUUAUUUUUCUGAGACAUAGGUCUCAUUACAAGGCCUUGGCUGGCCUGGAACUCACUAUGUAGAGCAGGUUGGCCUUGAGCUCACAGAGUUACACCUACCUCUACCUGCCAAGUGCUGGGAUUAAAAGUAUGUGCCAACACCCUGGGAACUACAUAAUUUUGAAAAAUAUACUUUUUUUAGUUUUUCUUAAUCACAAGGCAGCGUAAUUAUCUCCACCACUACCUAAUUUUAGAAGACUCUUAACACUCAAAAAAAAAAAAGAAACUGUCAUACUUCUUAGUAAGCAUUCUCGUGUCUUCUUGGCUGACACUUGCCCUACUUCCUGUGUGUGGAGUUUCCCUUUCUCAGCAUUCAUGUAACUGGAACCCUGCACCCAAGCAUGGUGGUGCACAGCUGUAAGCCUAGCGCUUGAAAGGUGCAGGAAGAAGGGACAAGGGUUAGGUCAUCCUCAGCAGCUAGAAAGUCCAAAGCCUGGGCUACUUGAGCCCCCAUCUCCAACAAUAAAAAACAAUCCACCAGUGAUGUUUGAGGUGAGGACUGGGAUCCUACACAGCCUCUUCAACAUCUUUUCUGUUUUAGUCAAUGUUCUGUUGCUGUGAAGAGAAACAUGACCACGACCACAGCAACUCUUUAUUUAUUUAUUUAUUUAAUUUAUUUAUUAUGUAUACAGUGUUCUGUCUGCAGGUAUCCCACCAGAAGAGGACACAGGAUCUCAUUUCGGAUGGUUGUGAGCCAAUAUGUCGUUGCUGGGAAUUGAACUCAGGACCUCUGGAAGACCAGCUAGUGUUCUUAACUACUGAGCCAUCUCUCCAGCCCUACCACAACAACUCUUACAAAGGAAAACAUUUAACUGGGGCUGGCUUACAGUUCAGAGUUUUCAUUCAUUAUCAUCACGGUAGGAAGCAUGGCAGCAUGCAGGCAGACAUGGUGCUGGAGACAUAGCUGAGAGCUCUACAUCCGGAUCAGCAGACAGCAGGAAGAGACAGUGAGCCAACUAGGCCUGGCUUGAGAUUUUGAAAUCUCAAAGCCCACCGCCCCCAGUGACACAUUUUCUCCAACAAGGCCAUACCUACUCUAACAGACCACAUGUCCUAGUCCUUUCAAAUAAUGCCACUCCCUGUGAGCCUUUUAGGGCCAUUUACAUUCAAAUCACCAUAGUUAUAUCUGAUUUAAAAAUAUUAUUAUGGGCACUCUAGUGAGGAUUAAGUGGUAUUAAUGAUUUUAUCCUUGCUGUCCUGGUGAGAUACCAUUUUUAAUAUCUUUCCAUGUAUUUAUCAGUAAUUAUCUGGUCAUCAGGCUUGGUGGCAAGUGUCUUUACCAACUAAGCCAUCUUGCCAGCCUUCCUUUUACUUUCUUGGUGAUGUAUUUUGAAGCAUGAAAGUUUUUAAAUUUAAUGAAGUUAAAUUGGUGAACUUUUUUCUUUUGUUGACUAUAUUUGCAGUGUCUCAUAAGUGUGUGACCUAAAGUAAUGGAGAUUUCAUAUAUGUUUAGUGUGUGACCUAAGAUAAUGGAGCUUUACAUAUCUACUUUCUUUUCAGUACUAGGGAUUCAAACCAGGACCUCAGGUGUGCUGGCAAAUGCUCUGCCACUGAGUUACAUCUCCAGCUCUCCUUUUAUUUUGUAUUGGAAGAACCUCUCACUAAAUUGCCCAUGCAUACUGUAACCCAGGCAGGCUUUCAUGUGUGAUCCUAUUGCCUCCUGCUAAGUAGCUAGGAUUACAGACUUUCACCACUGGGACCCGCUCUUCUAGGAGUUUAAAGUUUUAUUUGGGCCUGUAAUGCAUUUUGAAUUAAUUUUUUAUGUGAUAGUUAAGUAGAGGAUCCAACACCAAUCAUACUUUGUGAGUAUUCUGCUGUCUUGGCACCAAUUGUUUAUAAAAUGAUUUCUGCUGGACGGUAAUGGCACACACCUUUAAUCCUAGCACUUGGGAGGCAGAGGCAGGUGGAUCUCUGUGAGUUUGGGGCUGUUGGGAGCCAUAAGUUAAGGGGCCAUCCAGAGCAAUGGAAAAUUACAGGUCCUUGAAGGACUUGCCACCUGGCAACUGCCACCACUGGCUGUUCUGUUCCGGGAAGAGAUAAGCAGCUCUGAGGACAAGAAACAUAGGAGGUUUUCAGGCAACAGACAUUCUUUAGCUAGCCGCUUGCACCAGAUGUACUAACUCCCUCCUCACCUCCUCCUCCAUGUCUCCGCAUGCCCAUCCCGGGAGCCCCACCAUCAGCGGCCGCUACAUGCUCACUCCCUCCCUCCUUGCCACACUCCUAUAUGAGCUUUACUCCUCUUUCAAUAAAGUGAAAACGUGACAAAAACUUAUGCUUGCAUGGUCUCCUUCUUUUCUCCCGCCCAUGAUUCUUUUCAGGCAGUGCCUCUUCAGACCCUGAAUAACUGGACCUGCUAGACGGGUGGUGGGGCCAGCUUAGUCUACAGAGCAAGUUCUAGGACAGCCAGAGCUAUUUAAUAGAGAGACUCUAUUUAAAAAUAGAAAAAG
ensembl:lncRNA